rnacentral:tRNA from 1 species
UAUUAUUGCAAAAGUUAAGUCUUAUAUUCAAAUUUUAAGGUGUAAAUAAAUAUACUAAGGCUU